rnacentral:rRNA from 1 species
GACGAACGCUGGCGGAAUGCUUUACACAUGCAAGUCGAACGGCAGCACGGACUUCGGUCUGGUGGCGAGUGGCGAACGGGUGAGUAAUAUAUCGGAACGUAUCCAAUAAUGGGGGAUAACUAAUCGAAAGGUUGGCUAAUACCGCAUACGUCCUACGGGAGAAAGCUAGGGACCUUCGGGCCUGGCGUUAAUGGAGCGGCCGAUAUCGGAUUAGCUAGUUGGUGAGGUAAAGGCUCACCAAGGCGACGAUCCGUAGCUGGUCUGAGAGGACGACCAGCCACACUGGAACUGAGACACGGUCCAGACUCCUACGGGAGGCAGUAGUGGGGAAUUUUGGACAAUGGGCGAAAGCCUGAUCCAGCCAUUCCGCGUGAGUGAAGAAGGCCUUCGGGUUGUAAAGCUCUUUCGCAAGAGAAGAAAACUUACCCUCUAACAUAGGGUGAGGUUGACGGUAUCUUGAUAAGAAGCACCGGCUAACUACGUGCCAGCCGCCGCAGUAA